rnacentral:rRNA from 1 species
UACGAAGGGGCUAGCGUUGCUCGGAAUCACUGGGCGUAAAGCGCACGUAGGCGGAUUGUUAAGUCGGGGUGAAAUCCUGGAGCUCAACUCCAGAACUGCCUUCGAUACUGGCGAUCUUGAGUCCGGGAGAGGUGAGUGGAACUCCGAGUGUAGAGGUGAAAUUCGUAGAUAUUCGGAAGAACACCAGUGGCGAAGGCGGCUCACUGGCCCGGUACUGACGCUGAGGUGCGAAAGCGUGG